rnacentral:lncRNA from 1 species
GUCUCUCGCUGGAGAAGCCUGUGAGAACGAGGAUGGGCAAAGUGUCAGGCUCUUGGUGCAGCUGAAAAUCCUUUGAGAUGGAAGAAAUGGCUGGAACAAAGGGGCAGAGGAACAAAAAGCCCUGAACUGCUUCGCCCCUGCCUCGUGGGGUCUUUAUCAUCUUAAACCUUGGGAUUUGGGCUUUGAUCAACUCGGCCUUCCUGGGCCUCGGGGAGAGAGACGGACUGCCUCCGGGUGCUCAUGACCUUUCCAGCAGUAAGCCAAUAAUGUAUGACUCCUGCGUUGCCGUUGCUCGUUUGAGGAACAUCUGUCCAGUCCCUGGGAUGGUGAGGCUAUAACCACAAAGGAAUAAGAGAAGACGACUAGUUUUGUAAUGGGGACAUUGGCUGCUGUCUUCUGACCCACCCUGUGUGGCUUUGGCGUCUCCUGUGACCUCCCAGUAUGGGUCUUGGCCUCAUCCUGCCUCUUUGUCUUUCUGGCCCACCACCCACAGCUUGAAUCUCAGGCUCCAACAGUUGCCUGACCCCCAGAUUCUGAUGACAGCCUACCUACUUGUUCUUCAGGCCCUCACCAGACUCACUGCCCAGACACACCACACAGGAGAACAUGAAAGGGUGAAUGAAUCUUUCAUCAUUUGAUGACCAAGUUGGCAUUCUUUUACAUUCCAGCCACCAGAGGAAGGUGUAUUUUAACACAAUUGCCCUCACAUCCUCCUUAACAGGAUUUACAUAAGUUUAUUAACACAUAUGUUUCUACAAAAUCAAGUUUUGAGAACCAUUUUUAUACACUGAUCUGGGACAUUUUGGGGAUAUGAAAUUAACUUUAGCACACACAGCAAGAAGAAAACCGAACAACAAAUUCUACAAACACCAAAUUUGCUGUGAAAUUUACAUUUCAGAAUCUCUCAAGAAAUAGUGCCCAGCAGCAAUUCUUACUGUUUUCACUUUUUCCCCCGUCUUCACAUUUUUAUGUUUGACAGUGCCAACAUAUUUUCUCAACAUUUAUUCUGAAAGGAAUGUACUUUGUGAAUUCCUUAAAUGCAGGAUGAUUCUGAUUUUAUUGGCCUAAUAGCUCCUCCUUAUGCGUGGGUUAGUAUAACAGAAUGCAUUUGAGACCUGCUAUACUAUUUUAAAUUAAGACAUUUCAUGUAGCACAUAGUAUUUUAAAAUGAAGAACAUUGUCUUGGAAA